AUAUUGGGGAUAAGAUUAAGUAGGGCAAUUGGACCACCAAAAAUCAUUCCAAAGAUAAGAGGACAAGAGGAUCGAUAAAUCCAAUAUGAGAAGUUGUUUAUAUAGAGAGUGCUCACAAUAUGAGAUUUUAUCUCAUCCUUACUGAGAGAAUUUGAGAUAAAAGAGCGGAUGUGUUACCAAACCCCUUGCAAUGCUUGUGGCAAGACCACAUGGGGUGGGUGUGGUAAGCAUGUGGCCUCUGUUUAUAGAAGCAUAGAGAAAGGAAAGCAUUGCGUAUGUCGCCCUUGGCCUGGUGUGGAUACCUCCACAACAUCUGAGGGUUCAACUUCUACCAAAAGUUGAGGUGUGGUUAUCGUGUAGGCUAGUGGACGAAUAAAGAAUGCUUGAGAAGGAAAUAAGAGAAUAAUGUGGUUUGUGGUAUGCAACCUGGUUUCCAUGGUGCUCAGGAGAGAGACAAUCUCAUCUUGUCUUGUGUGAGCUGUGGAGGAUAAGAGGGAGAUGGUAUUUAUGUUUGUUUGUGUGUGUCACAAACGUUAGUGAGAAGAAAGAAAGACAAUUUGCUGUUGUCUUUUAUGUUGGAGACUUAAUUAAAAAUGUUGUAUUAGUUUGCAUGUAUUUGCAUGAGAAUAUUUUGCAUAUAGUUAUGACUUUGGGUUUGGCU